GAUAGAUUAUGUUUCCAUUAGGUUGAGCGAUGUGAUCUGACAAAUGCUUUAAAUGCUACACUCAUGAUCUUAUUAUCCAUCAACUUUGUCUUGCUCACUAUGCUUAAGGUUAGAGAAGAACAAAUACACUUUUGGUUCUGUUGGUGUUUUCCACCAACAGGGCCCAUGCACUUGAUCUCUGCCUUGUCUCUAUGAGCAGGUACACUUCGAGCAAAAUAUGGAGGAGUUUUACAACUCCUAGACUCCACCAAGUGAAGAACCUGGAUCUACGAGCACAAACACACUGC
rnacentral:lncRNA from 1 species